GACGCAUCAGACAAACUUUACCUUCGCGGGCAUUUUGAUCCACUUCAUCUCGAAAAGUUGUUAUUCGGAGAAGAAAAGCGUGCAGAAUAACAGCUAAUAUUAAUGGAUCAUUCCAUUCAAGAGAAAGUCAACUGGAACGUGGAUGUUUUCAUAACAGGCUUAAAGUUAAACAUUAUUUAGAUGAACAAAUUGAUAAAGAAACCCUCCUGCUGAACAUCCACUUCCAAAAGUGCACGCCACACUGUUGUCUACAACUCCCAGGAAAAGAAUCCUCUUUAGUAAGACUGCUCCGUGGAUAUGUCAGGUUAAGCAGUGCUGAAACCGAAAGAACUAACACUCUUUCAAAUGUUUUGUGAGUUUAUAUGAAUAGGAAAGUUACGGUGUCCCUUUUGCACAUCCAUAACGCUUGUUUAUUUCUUUUUUUAUAGAAAACUUGUGCAUAGACUGAUAUUUUAUCAUAUAAAUGCGGUUCUAUCAACAAGGGUUUAGUAAAAUACUUUUUAUAGUGUUUUUAUGUCGCAUCCAUAACGCUGGAAUUGCCCUAAAGCAUUUUACUCAUGCCACUUUGUUAACUGUAUAUGAAUUUUUGAAGUGUUAAGUUGUCUAACUAUUUAUA